UGGCAGCACACCGGGGCAGGGAUCCCAGCUCCCUAGAGGCAGGAUGGCUCCAGAUCACCUGUGCUGCUGUCUGCUGUGGAGAUGUUUUUCCUGAAGCCCUGCUGCUGGCGGAAGGCAGAGUUAUGAAUGUGUGAUGAGGUUCACCUAACAGCUUUGUUUGCAGUUUUCUACCAGAUAACACAAGUUUGUAUGUUUUACAGACCAAAUCAGCAGCUGUUACACUCUGAAGGAGCCUGUCUCUCCCUGAGAACACGAAAACACAGCAAGCACCAGUCUGGCAAAGCCAUCUCACCUCCCCACCACCAUCUCCUGCUCUGCACUGGCAGCACUGCAGUUAUUUCCUCAUUGUACCUCCCCUUGGAAUGCAAGAGAGAUUUCACAGCUAUCUUUAGACUGGACACAGGAGCAGGAGAUGAAGCUGA